GACGAACGCUGGCGGCGUGCUUAACACAUGCAAGUCGAACGGAAAGGCCCUGCUUUUGUGGGGUGCUCGAGUGGCGAACGGGUGAGUAACACGUGAGUAACCUGCCCUUGACUUUGGGAUAACUUCAGGAAACUGGGGCUAAUACCGGAUAGGAGCUCCUGCUGCAUGGUGGGGGUUGGAAAGUUUCGGCGGUUGGGGAUGGACUCGCGGCUUAUCAGCUUGUUGGUGGGGUAGUGGCUUACCAAGGCUUUGACGGGUAGCCGGCCUGAGAGGGUGACCGGCAACAUUGGGACUGAGAUACGGCCCAGACUCAUACGGGAGGCAGCAGUGGGGAAUAUUGCACAAUGGGCGGAAGCCUGAUGCAGCAACGCCGCGUGCGGGAUGACGGCCUUCGGGUUGUAAACCGCUUUCGCCUGUGACGAAGCGUGAGUGACGGUAAUGGGUAAAGAAGCACCAGCUAACUACGUG
rnacentral:rRNA from 1 species